ACGAUGACUUUUGUGCUUGCACAAAAUGAUUAGUGGCGAACGGGUGAGUAACACGUGAGUAACCUGCCCUUAACUUCGGGAUAAGCCUGGGAAACCGGGUCUAAUACCGGAUACGACCUCCUGACGCAUGUCAUGGGGGUGGAAAGCUUGAUGCGGUUUUGGAUGGACUCGCGGCCUAUCAGCUUGUUGGUUGGGGUAAUGGCCCACCAAGGCGACGACGGGUAGCCGGCCUGAGAGGGUGACCGGCCACACUGGGACUGAGACACGGCCCAGACUCCUACGGGAGGCAGCAGUGGGGAAUAUUGCACAAUGGGCGAAAGCCUGAUGCAGCGACGCCGCGUGAGGGACGAAGGCCUUCGGGUUGUAAACCUCUUUCAGCAGGGAAGAAGCGAAAGUGACGGUACCUGCAGAAGAAGCGCCGGCUAACUACGUGCCAGCAGCCGCGGUAAUACGUAGGGCGCAAGCGUUAUCCGGAAUUAUUGGGCGUAAAGAGCUCGUAGGCGGUUUGUCGCGUCUGCUGUGAAAGCCCGGGGCUCAACCCCGGGUCUGCAGUGGGUACGGGCAGACUAGAGUGCAGUAGGGGAGACUGGAAUUCCUGGUGUAGCGGUGAAAUGCGCAGAUAUCAGGAGGAACACCGAUGGCGAAGGCAGGUCUCUGGGCUGUAACUGACGCUGAGGAGCGAAAGCAUGGGGAGCGAACAGGAUUAGAUACCCUGGUAGUCCAUGCCGUAAACGUUGGGCACUAGGUGUGGGGGACAUUCCACGUUUUCCGCGCCGUAGCUAACGCAUUAAGUGCCCCGCCUGGGGAGUACGGCCGCAAG
rnacentral:rRNA from 1 species